UAGGGAAUAUUAGUAAUGGGCGAAAGCCUGAACUAGCAACGCCGCGUGUGCGAAGAAGGCCUUCGGGUUGUAAAGCACUUUUUGAGAGGAUGAGGAAGGACGGUACUCUCAGAAUAAGUCUCGGCUAACUACGUGCCAGCAGCCGCGGUAACACGUAGGAGGCGAACGUUAUCCGGAUUUACUGUGCGUAAAGCGCGUGUAGGUGGUUUGGUAAGUAGGGCGUGAAAGCUCCUGGCUCAACUGGGAGAGGCCGUUCUAAACUGCCGAACUAGUGGAUGGUAGAGGGAGGUGGAAUGCCGGGUGUAACGGUGGAAUGCGCAGAUAUCCGGAGGAACACCAGUGGCGAAAGCGGCCUCCUGGACCAUGCCUGACACUCAGACGCGAAAGCUAGGGUAGCAAACGG
rnacentral:rRNA from 1 species